ACGCUCGACACCUACGGGGAGACAGCAGGUGGGGAAUAUUGGGCAAUGGGCGCAAGCCUGACCCAGCAACGCCGCGUGAAGGAAGAAGGCUCUCGGGUUGUAAACUUCUUUUGUCAGGGACGAAGCAAGUGACGGUACCUGACGAAUAAGCCACGGCUAACUACGUGUCAGCAGCCGCGGUAAUCUGAGCGGGCUGGCAAGGC
rnacentral:rRNA from 1 species